rnacentral:rRNA from 1 species
UUUACUGCUUCACGCUAUAUCAAGUGCCAACACAUACAGGAACUGAGUACUGAAUGUUGAAUGCCGGAUAGCGGCGGACGGGUGAGUAACGCGUGGGCAACCUGCCUCAUACUGGGGGAUAACACAGGGAAACUUGUGCUAAUACCGCAUAAUAUCAUUAUAGGGCAUCCUGUGAUGAUCAAAGGAGCAAUCCGGUGUGAGAUGGGCCCGCGUCCAAUUAGCUAGUUGGUGGGGUAACGGCCCACCAAGGCGACGAUUGGUAGCCGAACUGAGAGGUUGAUCGGCCACAUUGGGACUGAGACACGGCCCAGACUCCUACGGGAGGCAGCAGUGGGGAAUAUUGCGCAAUGGGGGAAACCCUGACGCAGCAACGCCGCGUGAGUGAGGAAGGUUUUCGGACUGUAAAGCUCUGUCGAGCGGGAAGAAGUGUACCAUGGCUAAUAUCCAUGAUAUUUGACGGUACCGCUAGAGGAAGCACCGGCUAACUCCGUG